GGUCCCGUGGUGUAGUGGUUAACAUGCCUGCCUGUCACGCAGGAGAUCGCGGGUUCGAGUCCCGUCGGGACCGCCA
rnacentral:tRNA from 3 species